GUAUUAUCUACUUAUACCCAGAGGAAUGAACAUAAUACCAUUCUACAGAGGAGCAAAUUGAGGCCCAGAAAUUCAGCAGGGCCCAGCAGUGCUGACUCAAUGGCAAAACAGUGUCGCCCAAGGGAUCACCUUCAGCUAAACAACCUCAAGCCCAGAAGUGACAGUGAUUCUGUCACGUUCCCCCAUCCCAGCAUCCUCCCUGAGAGCUCUGGUCUCCUCUAGGAAGGCCCAUCUGUGAAGUGGUGCGCUGAGGGGUCUCUCCCUGCCCCAUCUGUUCCUCUUGUAACCCACAAAGGACAGUUUGACAGAGGAAGCUAGAAGCCAUGGCUCAAUCUUUUUGUACUUAAAAAUCAAAGGCAGAGAAACACACACACACAAAUCUAGACCUCUAGAUUCUGCUCUGGGA
ensembl:lncRNA